ensembl:lncRNA
CCAGGGCUGGCACCACACCGGUUCGGCCAUGGACCCGGAGUGUCCCAGCAGCGUUCCCCUCUGGGUGCCCGUUUCCCGCAGCCCAGCCUGGCAGGAAGCUGGCGGCAGAUAAAUGCAUUAAAAAUAUGCUCGGAGCGUGCAGCAGCCGGGGAGCGAACAGCGGCGAGCACUGGCGCUGCCAUCAGCCCCCGGUGCCACCAGGGCCGGCAGGAGAGGGACAGGAGGGGACAGGGCAGGACAGGCACAGGAAGGGACAAGGGGGGCUCUACGGGCCCCUCCAUCCCAUGUGCAGCAGUCCCGACCCUGUGAGCAUCCUGCCCUGCCUGCCCCAGGGUCUCCUCUGAGGACAUCCAUGGGGACAUCUUGGUGCCACAAGCUCAGUGCUGACCGUUUUUAUCCUAUUUCUAUCCUAUUUGUGCCUUUCGACCCUGUGAAUGGAAGGGCCCAGUGGGGUGCUGGGGAAGGGCAGCCUGGCUCAGAGGGUGCAGAUGUGGGGCAGAUGUCAGGGAUGUGACAUCCAUGGAUGUGGCUGUCCCCACGGGCACGUGUCACUGCGGGCACACCGUGUCCUUCCACGGCGCUGGUGGGAGGAGUGGGUGCCUAAACUGAGUCUUUGCAUGACUAAAACUCGUUAAAGGUCCCCGUGAUGAGUCUCAGGAAAUUCAGAUCUGGGAGAGGCUGGUUUGGCACUGACUGCACAGCACCAGGGGCAGGUGACACAUGGCACCAGGGGACAGGUGAAGGACAGACCCACCAUGAGAGUCUUCAGUCAGAGGGCCAAAGCUUUCCUCUUGCAGUCUCUCCAAAUUGGGGUGUUUAUCCUAACAAGGUGGGUUUUGGUGACCAGGAACUCCUACGGAGCCACUUUUCCCUUCAACGAUCUUUGAAGAGAGGAGAGGGGGAAAGCCACUUUACAAAGAGAUGUCUCCUCCUGCAGCUCCUGCUCCAUCAUGACCAGCAGCAAUCCCCUGCCACAGCCUCGUCCCAAGAGCUGCUGAGAUCCCACCAGCACGUUUGCUAUUCCCUCAUCACAGUCCUCCAAAACCUGCCAAACACAGGAUCACAGACCCAUGGAAUGGUUUGGAUUGGAAGAAACCUUAAAGCCCAACUCGUUCCAGCCGCUGCCAUGGGCAGGGACAACUCACACUGUUUGUAUUUGUAUUUUUAUAUUUGUAUUUACAUGUAUCCAUUUGUGUUUACUCCCACUGCUGGUGGGACUGGCUGGAGCAAGGAAGGAUGGAUGUGGAGGAUCCCAGCUCUCCCUGAGUGCUCCUGGGGAUGUUUCUUUGUCUCAGAAGGUUUUUGCUCCCUCCCUGGGUGAGGCAGGGCAGGGAGGGCAGCCCAGGACUCCGGCGUGGGGGCUCACUCAGAAUGUCAUUGCUCAUUGAAGCACUGGAUUUUCUGAUCUGAACCCAUGGGGAAAACAGAACUGGGGCUGCUGUGUCUGAGGGCUGCUGCAGGGGAUACCUCACUGCCCAAAAUCUCCAAGAAUUCCUCAUUUUGUCUUUGUCAGCCCAGCUACUUGUGCAAACACUGUCAAGCCAGGGCUGGGCACACAAAGCAAGGUCGGUUGUGAGCCAUUCUCCUGGAACAGAGGCAUUUGGAGCCGGCACAAAGGAAUCUCUGUCUCUCCCCUGCACUGGCAUCCUGGCAAUUAACCCGGGGAAUUGCAGCCUGGACUGAGUGCGGGGCUGUGCGGGGCCUGCCCCGGCUGGGAAUGGUGAAUGGAUGGAUGGAAACCCCUCUGCUUCCAGGGAGGGAGGGAGGGAAAUCUGCUGGGCUUCUGCUCUGGCUUUGAGAGAUGGAGGCCUGAAAAGCAGAAAAAUUAGGAGUCGCCUAAUCAGGGCAUCAUGGAAGAG